AGAUCUAGGAUGGGCGGGGCCAGGGUACUGACAACAAGGCUAUCACCAGAAAAUCAUUCGACAGGACUUGGAACUAGGCUACAUUCUCAUUCAGGCAUUCUUAUUCAGGAUUGCAGAAGUAGUGCUUUGCCUGAACGAGGACAUAGUUCCAGACUGGGCGACGGGUCCCCACUGUGAGGUGUGUCGGCCGGGCAGCUUCGGCUCGGCGCUGGCAAGUGGCGGAGGCUGCGUGUCGUGCCAGUGUAACGGCCACAACCAGACAGGCCAGUGCUACUGCAACCACUACACCCAGGGCCCGCACUGCGACACCUGCCUGCCCGGCUACUACGGGGACCCCAGCCUGCCCUGCAGUGUAAGUGGUGCACCAACUGCCCUGAGGGCGCGUGCAUGAGCAGCACCGUGAGCUGCACAUCGGAGCACGACUGCAAGAUCAACCAGCGUGAGGUCUUUCUGUCCAGCAACUGCGCCGAGACCAGCUGCGAGGCCUCCAACUGCCCCAAGUGCACCUCCUCUGGGAAAUGCAUGUGGACGCGUCAGUUCAAACGAGUGCCUGGCCUCCCACGGGGCCGACGGGGGCUGGCAGCACUGCAUCUGGAGCAUGGCACUGCAGCAGCCAGCACAGUCACAAACAGGGCGGGGCGUCUGUGUGUGUGCCUGACUGUGCUCAGGAUCAUGUUGUCUUGUGGUACCCCACUCACCCUCUGCUCUAUGAGGGUACAUUUGGUGCAAAACUCCUAAGCGCUUGCUGUCUAAAGCUUGAAUCCGCCCUCUAGCUCUACAGAUACAAAUAAAAGUUACGGGUACGAA